AGGCCAUGAUGGGGGUACUGUCUCAGCAUGCUCUUGAAACUGUCUCAUGCUUCAAAUAAUGAUUCUGAGUGUAUCUGUUUGAAACUUGUGAUCAAGUUUCUCAUAU